AUUGAACGCUGGCGGCAUGCCUUACACAUGCAAGUCGAACGGUAACAGGUCUUCGGAUGCUGACGAGUGGCGAACGGGUGAGUAAUACAUCGGAACGUGCCUAGUAGUGGGGGAUAACUACUCGAAAGAGUGGCUAAUACCGCAUGAGAUCUACGGAUGAAAGCAGGGGAUCGCAAGACCUUGUGCUACUAGAGCGGCCGAUGGCAGAUUAGGUAGUUGGUGGGAUAAAAGCUGACCAAGCCGACGAUCUGUAGCUGGUCUGAGAGGACGAUCAGCCACACUGGAGCUGAGAGACGGCCCAGACUCCUCCGGGAGGCAGCAGUGGGGAAUUUUGGACAAUGGGCGCAAGCCUGAUCCAGCAAUGCCGCGUGCAGGAUGAAGGCCUUCGGGUUGUAAACUGCUUUUGUACGGAACGAAAAGCCCCGGGUUAAUACCCUGGGGUCAUGACGGUACCGUAAGAAUAAGCACCGGCUAACUACGUGCCAGCCGCCGCGGUAA
rnacentral:rRNA from 1 species